CCUACGGGAGGCAGCAGUAGGGAAUAUUGGACAAUGGGCGCAAGCCUGAUCCAGCCAUCCCGCGUGAAGGAUUAAGGCCCUCUGGGUUGUAAACUUCUUUUCUCUGGGAAUAAAAACCGGUAUUCAUACUGGCUUGAAGGUACCAGAGGAAUAAGCACCGGCUAACUCCGUGCCAGCAGCCGCGGUAAUACGGAGGGUGCAAGCGUUAUCCGGAUUCACUGGGUUUAAAGGGUGCGUAGGUGGCUUUGUAAGUCAGUGGUGAAAUGCCGCAGCUCAACUGCGGAACUGCCAUUGAUACUGCUUAGCUUGAAUCACGUCGAGGUGGAUGGAAUAAUACAUGUAGCGGUGAAGUGCUUAGAUAUGUAUUAGAACACCGAUUGCGAAGGCAGUUCACUAGGCGUGUAUUGACACUGAGGCACGAAAGCGUGGGGAUCAAACAGGAUUAGAUACCCUGGUAGUCCACGCCCUAAACGAUGUAAACUCGACAUUAGCGAUAUACUGUUAGUGUCCAAGCGAAAGCGUUAAGUUUACCACCUGGGAAGUACGACCGCAAGGUUGAACUUAAGGAAUUGACGGCUGAGACCGNGCGAGACGACGACGAGGAGGAGG
rnacentral:rRNA from 1 species